AUGAGUGAGCUUAGUGCUUGAUCUAUAUUGUCAUCUUUAUUCAUAUCCUCGUUUUAAGUUUGUUUCUGGUUUAUUAUUCCAGUUUUAAGUUUAGCUCGUUUUAAGUUCUUGGUUUGUCAUUCCACUUUUCAGUUUAGUUCGUUUUAAGUUUGUUUCUGGUUUAUUAUUCCAGUUUUCAGUUAAGUUCGUUUUAAGCUUUCUUGUUUUAUUAUUCUCGCUUUAAGUUUAGCUCGGUUUUUUUUUUCAUAUUUAUUAUUCUGGUUUUCAGUUUAGUUCGUUUUAAGUUUGUUUCUGGUUUAUUAUUCCAGUUUUCAGUUAAGUUCGUUUUAAGCUUUCUUGUUUUAUUAUUCUCGCUUGAAGUUUAGCUCGGUUUUAUUUUUUUUCAUAUUUAUUAUUCUGGUUUUCAGUUUAGUUCGUUUUAAGUUUAUUCCUGAUUUAUUUCUCCAAUCAUUUGUUUAGUUAUGUCAUUAGUCUUAAAUUUAGCUCUUAUUUUUCUAUCCAUCAAAAGUCUGUUCACUAUUUUUUACUCACAUUUAGAUUUUAUUCCUUUAUUUUUAUUUCCAUAUUAAGUCUGUUCCUAAAUAUUCUACCCUGUCUUAAGUUUAUUCUAAAAUUCUUACCUUCACCUUAAACUUAUUCGAAAAUUAUGACCCUCAUCUUCAGUUUCCUCAAGAAAUCUUAUCCCCGUCAAAUUUAAGCUUAUUUUCAGUUUAUCAUCGUCAUAAUUUUUUUUUGUAGUGUUAAUUUUACUCUCAUUCGGUUGCCAUGUCUUUAAUCAUUGAGACAGUUUAGCAGUCAGUCAGUCGAUCAUUCACAACAUAAUCAUGGUUAAAAUCUCCAUAAUGAAGUGAACAUUAUUCUGAAAGAUAAAGAGAAACUAUUUUAUUCGCCCAUAAUUCUUGAAUAUCCCACAGUGACGAAAGAGAUAAACAUGUAUUUGUAUAUAUAAGAUACUUUCAUAUUCGUAUUUAUGCCACUCGUGUUGAGAAAUGCGAUAAAGAAAGAAUGUAAAGAAACUAAAUAAAGAAUAUUAUGCCUUUAAAAAACAACGCAUAUAAUGUAAAAUGCAAAGAAAGGAAGAAAACGGAGAAAAUAAUAAACAGCUGAAACGAACGAAGACGCAUAUGUUGGAAAAUGCAAUAAUAAAGAAGUGGAAAGAAACAAAAAGAAGAAUACCGUGCCUUUCCGAACUAAGACUCAUAUACUGUGAGAUGCAAUAAUAAGUGAAUGUGAAGAAACAAAAGAAAGAUGAUCCUACUAAACCCAACGAGGACGGGAUAACGCGAUAAUAAAGGGAUGAAAAGAAACAAAAGAAGAAAGAAUAGCGUUUUACUGAAACGGACGAGGACUUAUAUAAAGGAAGAGAUAGAAAACAAAGGAAAGAACAGUAUGCCUCUAAACACAACGAGGUCUGAAGUAUAUAAAGGAAGAUAUAGAAAACAAAGGAAAGAACAGUAUGCCUCUAAACACAACGAGGUCUAAAGUAUAUAAAGGAAGAUAUAGAAAACAAAGGAAAGAACAGUAUGCCUCUAAACACAACGAGGUCUAAAGUAUAUAAAGGAAGAGAUAGAAAACAAAGGAAAGAAUAGUAUGCCUCUAAACACAACGAGGUCUAAAGUAUAUAAAGGAAGAGAUAGAAAACAGAGGAAAGAAUAGUAUACCUCUAAACACAACGAAGUCUAAAGUAUAUAAAGGAAGAGAUAGAAAACAGAGGAAAGGACAGUAUGCCUCUAAACACAACGAGGUCUAAAGUAUCUUCGCUUGUAACCUUUUCCCGACCUGAGCAACGAUGUCCUUCCCGCGUCAAGUGCCGGGUACGAGUAUUUAUUGACGUGUUCCUUUGAGAUAGGCAAGACGGGCUAUAAACUACGGAAUAUAUAAGGAGAGAAGAAUAUACCCGUCAGUACACUUAAGAUAGACAAGAAGGACUAUAAACUACAGAAUAUAUAAGGAGAGAAAAAUAUACCCGUCAGUACACCUUGGCGACGAAGUAUGUAGACCUUUACGAAUAAGAAGAAAAAUGUUUGCGUGUUAGUUAAGUAGAUUUGUUUUUUUUUACAACAAAGGAGACAGCUCAAGGGCACAAAAAUAAGGAAACAAUAACAAAAAAAAAGCCCGCUACUCGCAUAUACUGAGAACACGACAGUAAAAGUUCGUUAAUCUGAAUUCUUCGGGUGAGACGAUCCCGAUAGUGCGAAUUUUUGUAUAGGAUGAUGAAAUAGGAUAAAGCGAAAAUACGACACAAGAGAUAAAACUAAUGAUGAAGUAUAAUAAGGAUAUGAGUACGAAACAAGUAACAAAAAUGAUAAUGAAAUAGUAUAAAGUGAAAGUACGAGACAAAUAACAACAAAAAAAUUAGAUUGGAUAGAGGAAAAGUACGAUAAAAAUAAUGAUGAAAUAUAACAAAAGAAAAGUACGAGACAAAUAACACAUAAAAAAGAUAAGAUUGGAUAAAGGGAAAGUACGAUAAAAAUAGUGAUAAAAUAUGACAAAAGAAAAGUGCGAGACAAAUAACA